AGAGUUUGAUCCUGGCUCAGGACGAACGCUGGCGGCGUGCUUAACACAUGCAAGUCGAACGAAGAUAUGUUGAAAGCUUGCUGAUACAUAUUUUAGUGGCGGACGGGUGAGUAACGCGUGGGUAAUCUACCCUUGGAUCUUGGAUAACAUAUCGAAAGGUGUGCUAAUACGGGAUGAAGUCUUGCUGGAUGAGUCUGGCGAGAUGAAAGUUCGCGCAAGCGGAUGUCCGGGGAUGAGCCUGCGUACCAUUAGCUAGUUGGUGGGGUAAAGGCUUACCAAGGCAACGAUGGUUAGCUGGUCUGAGAGGAUGAUCAGYC
rnacentral:rRNA from 1 species